rnacentral:rRNA from 1 species
AUGAACGCUGGCGGCGUGCCUAAUACAUGCAAGUCGAGCGAACGGACGAGAAGCUUGCUUCUCUGAUGUUAGCGGCGGACGGGUGAGUAACACGUGGAUAACCUACCUAUAAGACUGGGAUAACUUCGGGAAACCGGAGCUAAUACCGGAUAAUAUUUUGAACCGCAUGGUUCAAAAGUAAAAGACGGUCUUGCUGUCACUUAUAGAUGGAUCCGCGCUGCAUUAGCUAGUUGGUAAGGUAACGGCUUACCAAGGCAACGAUGCAUAGCCGACCUGAGAGGGUGAUCGGCCACACUGGAACUGAGACACGGUCCAGACUCCUACGGGAGGCAGCAGUAGGGAAUCUUCCGCAAUGGGCGAAAGCCUGACGGAGCAACGCCGCGUGAGUGAUGAAGGUCUUCGGAUCGUAAAACUCUGUUAUUAGGGAAGAACAUAUGUGUAAGUAACUGUGCACAUCUUGUCGGUACCUAAUCAGAAAGCCACGGCUAACUACGUG